rnacentral:misc_RNA from 1 species
CAACUGUGUGUGGUAACCUGUGGAGAUGAGCAAAAGCCAAGUCAUUAACGCCUCCAACAUGAGCAUCAAUCUCUAAUUGCUGGCGUAGAUCAUUUAACCCAGUAUAAGCAUACAGGUGAAUCAAGUGCUUAUUAAAUGCAGCGCCUACAAGACUUCCAUCAGGACUCCAAGUAACACGAUUGACAGAAAUUUGUGUAUCUUUGACAAAGGAAGCCUGAAAUUGCAAUGAAUAGGCUGUCAUUUCCCAAUUCUUGAAGGGCUUUGAAACCAACCUCUCCUGUAGCCCAACAUCCCAUAGUGUAACCUCACCAUUAGCAGAACCAACAAGAAGCAAUACAUGGUGAGAAGGAUGAAAAUCCAUGCUCGUGACAGC